GAUGGUUAGGCUAGCUGGACCACGUGACAAAUAUGUUAUUGUUCAUUUUUAUUUUUGGUCACGUGACGAGGAAAGGGGGUGCUUUGUGAUGAGUGAUUAGGAAAACAUAUGAGUGAGAACAUAAUAUGCCAACAAAAGAUCAUAUUUCAAAGCGCUAGAGGGCUUCUGAGAUCAAGAUGGAAAUUGAAACAGAAAGCGAACAAACAUACGAACCUAUUACGAACCUAUUUUGAACGUUGGAGAUGAAAAUAUCGAAGAAAGCGAGCGUCGUGAACAGUUUAUGAUCGAGGGGACGAACGCUUUGGUUAUACACCGCGUUUGGAUAAUUGUAUUUUUGCCGUUGUUUUAGUAUGUCAGGAUACGGUUAAACGUUUGAAGUAAUAUUGAACAGUAUGGUUGGCUCUCAUUGUGCUUUGUAUGGCUGUCCGACCAGCAGAACGCGUGAAUUUGCAAUUUUUAAAAUCCCUGUUGAGUGUUGUUGGCGCAGCCGAUGUAGCCUGCGUAGGAGACUACAGCCGAUGGUGAACAAGAAGAGAAAUGCUCGCGAAGAAUGGCUUCGAAUUGUUUUAAAGGACUAGAGAAAAGACGGUAGAUCUUCAGAAACAAAUAAGAUUUUCCUUUGUGAGCGUCAUUUGAAGCCAUUGUAAAUUUUGCAUUUUAUGCAUGCGCUUGUGUGAUCAGAUGUAAACAAAGAGGGCAUUGUAUUUGCAUAUUUACAUAUCCCAUGUCUAUUAAAUAUCUAUCUUCUGUAGACCCCAAACGAAAGAUUUUAUAACUGGUAGCGUACCACUGAAAAUUUACCUACAAUAAACACGAAGUUCCCAAGGCUGAGCGUCGCAUUCUCAGCGUAUAAAUACCAGAUAAACAACCUACAAGCUUCGAAUUACACACGUUAGUUCAGUGGCUGGCGAGGUGGCUGGUGUGUCCAGUAUUGAAAUUAAAACUGAUGGCAGAUUUAGAUAAUAUGCAAAUAUGGAAAGUAGAAGAAAUUCAAGAUAACCUAGGAGGUCCAAGGCUCAAAAAGCAAUUUAAAAUGCAAAAAAAUCUUUAAGUUUUUCACUAUCAUAUGAAAAUGGUCUAUGCUUGUUUAAGUUGUUUUGUUCCAAAAGUGGUAUAUUGCAUGUAAAUAUUUUUUGUGGUCACUCGAUUUUCAUA